AUAAUCACAUAAUAGACAGCGAAGUAUAUAAGAUAGAUGAAAAU
rnacentral:guide_RNA from 1 species